rnacentral:rRNA from 1 species
AACGUAGGACGCGAACGUUAUCCGGAGUUACUGGGCGUAAAGCGCGUGCAGGCGGUUUGGUAAGUUACCUAUGAAAGCUCUCGGCUAAACUGAGAGAGGAUAGGUGAAACUGCCAGACUAGAGUGAGGUAGAGGUGAGUAGAAUUCCAGGUGUAGUGGUGAAAUGCGUAGAUAUCUGGAGGAAUACCAGUGGCGAAGGCGGCUCACUGGCCCUCAACUGACGCUGAGACGCGAAAGCGUGGGUAGCGAACGGG